UUGAAAGGGAAACGAUUGAAGUCAGUCGUACCUGCGGGUAAUCAGCCUUUUGGGUGUGAUUAUGUGGAGCGUGAGGAGCUAAUCGCCUUCAUCUUUGCAUAUUCGUGCACUUUGGGUGUACUUGCUCGUGUGGUAGGUUAACAUCAAUUUUGAUCGUCAUAAAAUGACUGGAGGAAUGUAGCUUCGAUCUCGUAUUGAAGUGUUAUAGCCUUUGGUAGAUGUGAUGAUUAGGAUUGAGGAUUGCAACGGAUACCCUUCGGGGCUACCUGCCUGAUCUCUGAAAGUUGCUCUGGUGCUGAAAGCUUGCUUAUGGUAUCAAAGUUGACGUUCAAUAGGUUAGAACGGGAUAAAUUCGUUAAGGAUGUUGACGUA
rnacentral:rRNA from 1 species